rnacentral:lncRNA from 1 species
CACCAGAGUACUAAAGGAACAACUACUCGAGACAUUGUGUUCUCUUAGUCACAGGCACAUAGGAGGGAAAAUUCAACUAAGCCUCAUUUGGAUGUAUUAAAAUAGCCUUUUUCCUAGCUCAGAAUCACAUUUCAAAGGGUGCCUAGGUGCAAAGCUAAGCCAAGUAUAACCUAGCCACAAAGUAGUGCCAAGGGUAAUACGCCGUUUUCCAUUUUGUUUUAAGCAAUGAAAGGCAGCAGGAAACUGUGAACCAUGCACAGAACUAGGAGCAAGCAAACCGAACUGCAGUGUCCUUGGCAACUCACCAACCUCUCGGAUAUCUUCAUUAGAAAAUGAGUGGCUGGACAUAAAUUCUGAUACGCUGUUUUACUGUUACCAACCCAGUUCACAUCUCAGCAUCUCAGAAAUUGAUUGCAUUGUCUGGUGAAGCAUAGGAAAUUGUUCUCGAGGAUAAGGGUCACGUUAAGAAAAAUGACCAGGAACUGGCCAGGAUAAGCAGUUCUUCCCUCAUACUCAUCCACCUGGCCAUGCAGUAAUGUUCAGCUCUGUGGACACUGACAGCAAGAGGAGGAGCAUGAAGAAAACCUUGCCAGGCUACGUAAUUCCCGGCAGCCUUCAGCCGCCACCACCGGUGAUGAAUCACAGAGGCUGCCGCCAGAGAUGGGACAUUUUGGGACUCUGCACAUACGACUUAAGACACAGGAUGAGAGUGGAGGCGAGAAAGAGAAGACAUAGAUCUGUCCAGGGCAAAGGAUUCAAAGGUCACCAGGACUCCACUCACCUCCUGAGACCUGGUGACAGCGAAAACAUUUCCUCGACGUGACUUCUGUUUGGGAGUUGAGGAGACACUUCAGCCAUCCCGUAGAGUAGUUUGCAUCAGCUAAUGCUCCCUGGCCUGACACACUCACAAACUCUGACCCAUUUAGAUAACCUCCCCUCAACCAAAAAAGGCAGCACUUUCACCAGCCCCUGAAAAUCUCCCAAUGAAGUUAUCUUUUUAAAAUGAGAUAAUUACACACGAAGCACUUAGAACAAUGCCUGGUGCAUAUUCAGCACUGACUACGUGCUAGCUCGAGUUGUUAUUUUUGUCUCUGGUCUGAAGACAGAUGCAGUGGCACUUGUCUCCUCAGAUGCCAGUAUCUCAAUGCCCCUCUUCACCCCUACCACACCCAGCCUACCAGGUCUCAUCUCAUCGAAAAACAAACAACAAUAACGACAACCCUCCAGCCCCCAAGCAUUCUAAUCAAACACUGCCUCUAUGUGCAAUUCAGAUUGCUUUUAAAAAAUUAAAAUAGAGCUCAAAAUGAAACAAAUCAGGGAUGCUUAAUGAUAGCCAAAAUGCAAUGUGGGGACCUUGUUUGGGUCCUGAGUCAAACAAACCAAUUAUAAGAAGACACUUUAGAGACAAUCAGGGAACCUUAAUUACAGACUGGGUAGCCAUAAUACCAAAG